ACCCCUCUACAUUCUGAUUCUAGUAAUCUUCCUUAGGGAAAACAAUUAAGGACAUACACUAAGUUCUGCCUGUUACGAGCCUUAUUGAUAACACCAUUGAAAUGGAAACAACCUAGUUAUCUAACAAUAAGGAUAGGUUAAAAAACCACACACACACACACAAGUUACAAUGUAUUGAUGUAGCUGAAUGCUAAGCUACCAUUGACAGUCAUCAUGGAAGUGUGCAUUAUUGACUUAGAAAAACAGUGACAGUAUUUUGUCACUGAAAAAGCACAUCUCAGUUUGUUCGGCAUUGUUGCUUUUUUGUGUGGAAAAAAAUACACACACACUUCUUUUUUGUUCAAUUUUACUUUCUGGUUUUUCAACAAUUAUACAUGUUAACUAUAGAGUUUUUAGACAUUAAAACCAGCAACAGCCAGAGUUGUUUUUAGCGAGGACACAGAGAUACUCAGCUGCUCCCAGAAGCCCAGCACAUGAGCAGAGAAAUGGCAUGCUUCCUUCAGACAUCCCCCGCUUGAUCACAGUUGAAGGAAUGUCUCAGAACACCAUGUUAUAAAGUUCUAGCAGCAUCCCUGACAUGUCUGUUGUCAAGAGUUCAGAGAAAGUAUUUCAUGGAACCCAGAUAUAUACCAACACCCAAGGGCUACAAGCAAUGAGAUGCACAGCCACCAGAAAACACAAACCUUCUUGGAGUGUCUUCUGCGGAGCACAGAGAGACUUUGUAAAUAGCAUGGAAGCUUUCAGACAAUGACGCAUAAUGAAUAAAAGUACAGGCUUGGGAAAGUCCUGUCUCUGCCACCAACUCUCUGAUCUUGGACAGGUUACUUCACUUCUCUGAACCUCUUUUCUCACCUAUAAAAUGCAGUAGCUGAACUUGAUCAAGAGAUUUUAAGUUUAUUACCAGAGGAAAUGUUUCUUCUAAUGAAAUCUUAGGUAGAGGCCCAGUACAGAAGACAGAUGGAAACCCAGCUGCUC
rnacentral:lncRNA from 1 species